GGGGUUGACGGUACCCUACUAGAAAGGAGCCGCUAACUUCGUGCCAGAAGCGUCGGUAAUACGGGGGCUCCAAGCGUUAUCCGGUGUUAUUGGGCGUAAAGAGUCGUGUAGGUGGUUGGGUAAGUUAUCUUUCAAAUAUCUUUGCUUUAACAAAGAGGAGGGGGAUAAUACUGCUUCGACUAGAAUUUUCUCAAGGGAGAUCGGAACUGAGGGAGGAGUAGUGAAAUGCGUUGAUACCCUCGGGAACACCAGUGGCGUAGGCGGAUCUCUGGGAGAAGAUUGACACUGAGACACGAAAGCUAGGGGAGCGAAGCAGAUUAGAGACCUGCGUAGUCCUAGCCGUAAACGCAUGCUUGCUAGCUGCAUGAAUCUACCUUCGGGUGGUAUCGUGUGGCGAAGGUAACCCGUUAAGCAAGCCGCCUGGAAAGUACGGCCGCAAGGCUGAAAUUCAAAGGAAUUGGCGGGGAGGCACACAACCAGUGGAACAUGUGGUUUAAUUCGAGACUAACCGAAGAACCUCACCAGGGUUUGACAUGUAGCUGCACGUCUUAAGAAAUUAAGACUCUCUUGAAGGUGCUACACAGGUGCUGCAUGGCUGUCGUCAGCUCGUUCCGUGAGGAGUGCCCUUAAGUGGGACAACGAGCGCAACCCCUAUUACAUGUUAGAAAUGUCAUGUAAGACUGCCUUGCCAUUUGGCGGGGAGGAAGGAGGGGCAGACGUCAAGUCCGCAUGGUCCUUAUGCCCUGGGCUACACACAUGUUACAAUGAGUACGGCAAUGAGUCUGUCGCGAGCACGUAAGUGUAAGCUAAUCUCUUAAAUGUACUCUCAGUGGGGAUUGAGGUCUGCAACUCGACCUCAUGAACACGGAAUUGGUAGUAAUCUCGGGUCAGCUAUACCGCGGUGAUACGUUCUUGCCUCUUGCACACACCGCCCGUCAAACCAGCAAAGUCGAUUGUAUCCGAACCUCUCUUUU
rnacentral:rRNA from 1 species